rnacentral:lncRNA from 1 species
UUUUUUUUUUUUUUUUUUUUUUUUUGGAAAAUAAAGAUUUGUUAUAUGCCUUAAUUGGCAUAUAUAUAUAUACAUAUAUAUAACAACGCAGCUUUUAAUUAUAAAUUUUAAUUUAUUUUUUUUUGACAUAUAAUAUAUUAACUAUAUCAUGUCACAAUUUGCUAUCACAAUUUUGUUUGUAAUAGACUCUUGCACUAUCUCCGCUACAAAUAAAACAUAAUAAGAGCUUACACACAUGAGCGCAUAAUCGUUUUCAAUUUAUUUUUUUGUUUUUCUACAUUUAUGUUGAAAUCAUUAAUGCAUGCGUAAAUUAAUGUUUAAGUUAAAAGUUUAUCUUUAUGAAGUUAUAAAAAUAAAACGUAAAAAAUAUAUAUAUAUAUAUAUAUAUAUACAAAAAAAAAAAAAAAAAAAAAAAAAAAAAAAAAAAAAAAAGAAAAAAAAAAAAAAAAAAAAAAAAAAAAAAAAAAAAAAAAAAAAAAAAAAAAAAAAAAACCAAGAAAAAAAAACCAAAAGAAAAAGUAACAUAGCAGGAGCUUAAGCUCUAGCACAUAUAAAAGCAAGUAAAAUUGCAAAAGCUUGAGUAAUUUACACCAUUGCAAAAUUGUUUAUAUAAAAUUAUUCUGCAAAAAUUGAAAACAAAUCUUCAUAUGUGUAAUAAAGGUUUACAAAAGUUAAUUUUUUCUUAUUUG